rnacentral:rRNA from 1 species
GGACCCGCACAAGCGGUGGAGCAUGUGGUUUAAUUCGAAGCAACGCGAAGAACCUUACCAAAUCUUGACAUCCUCUUGAUCGUCUCUUAAUCGAGACUUUCCUUCGGGACAAGAGUGACAGGUGGUGCAUGGUUGUCGUCAGCUCGUGUCGUGAGAUGUUGGGUUAAGUCCCGCAACGAGCGCAACCCUUAUCUUUAGUAGCCAGCAGUUAGAUGGGCACUCUAGAGAGACUGCCGGGGAUAACCCGGAGGAAGGCGGGGAUGACGUCAAAUCAUCAUGCCCCUUAUGAUUUGGGCUACACACGUGCUACAAUGGCGUAAACAAAGGGAAGCAACCCUGCGAAGGUGAGCAAAUCCCAUAAAUAACGUCUCAGUUCGGAUUGUAGUCUGCAACUCGACUACAUGAAGCUGGAAUCGCUAGUAAUCGCAGAUCAGAAUGCUGCGGUGAAUACGUUCCCGGGUCUU